CCCCCCAUCAUUUCAAGGAACUGUGGAAUUGUUCUCCUCAUGAUCUGUGGCCUUAUAAUGACGUCUGAGAUGUGUUGACCUGGAUCAUGUCUGAAAAAGUUACUUGCUGUCCUCCCUCUUUUUUUCCCUUCAAAGCUCCGGCAACCGCUGGGGGACAGUGCUCAUUUAUUUGCCUGCUCCGACAAUGGCACGCUGGGUGGUGUUUGUCUCCGGGCCUCUCGUGUGCCUCUGUUUCCUCCACGGAGCAGAAGGAGAGCCAGCAGUCCUGGCUUCUCGGCCCUGCUGCUGAGCCCAGAGCUUCCGCUGGCUUCUCUGGGAAGGACACAGCUUUGCUGUCUGGGUUCGCUCUGGAAACAUGAAGCUGGGCCUCGAGCGGGCUACGGGCCUGCAGACACCCUUUCCGACCCUGGGCUGAUUGGAGGGGGUUGUGAGAGGGGUGCCUGUAUGUCGGGGCGUCUGGAAACGUCCUCCAGAAUAAGGCAGGGAGCUUGCUCGAUUCUAGCCGGAAGGAAGUGGAGUCAGGACGCCGAGGGAGGGAUGACCGCUGUCCCUGCCCUGCUGGCAGCUUCCUCCUCCCUCUUCUUGCCACAGGAUGGUUUUGGCAGGGCCUCGGGGCCAACGGGGACAAGCACGCCAGUCCCUCCCCGCAGAGCCUACCUGGGACUUAGAUUCUUUUCAUAGCUGACGAUAAGCAAGGCAUGUUUGUGUUCACAGCCCUGAUGGGGAGAUAGGCGCAUUCUGCCUGCCUUCGCUCAUUCAAGACAGCGGCGGGCGUCUGAGAAGCACCAGGGCCCACGUGGAGCUCAGGGCAGCCAGCGGCCUCCGGAGUCUCCACAGCCGGAACAGCACCCAGGCCCCUGGAAACGGCACCUCCCCAGAAGAGCUGCCCGGGUGCGAUCUGAAACAAAGUCUCUGUGCCCCCGGGGCCUGGCCCCGCUGCGGCGUCCCCCCGCCCCCCCAGCCUGGCCGUUGCAGCAACAUGCAGAGGCAUCUGGUGGGGAAAGAGGAGCUGGCCCGAUGCUGUCUGCUGCCUGCCGUCACCCAGGGACCGGCGCCCCGGUCCCCCUCCCUUGGGACCCGCGAGAGGCUCCGACUGCAGUGGGGGAGGGGAAGGGGAGGCCACAGGAACCGGUCCCGAGUGAGGACGGCCUCAGAGGGACCGCCUGGCAGCACUGGGCAUGGGGUCCCGAAGAUGCCCUUGGGCUUGGAAGGGCCCAGCCUUCUAACGGCUCCGUGGCCAGACUUAGCCGCAGAGCAGCGUGGGGCCCAGAUCCUGGGGCUGGACAGUGAAGAGCGACAUGGCUCAUCUCUGGCAAGUUCCCCCAGGAGCUGAGGACUGGGGCCGCAGGGCUGUAGGAGGGCUUUGUCCCGGCCCAGCGCCAAUCUGAAUUACUUAAAGCAGAAAGUCUGAGUGGCUUCUCUUUCAAAGCAGCCUGGUGUUGGGGUCAGGGUCAGGGACAGGGACGCGCCCCUGGCCCCGGGUCAGAGGUGCCGGGGGCCGCGGCCCAGGGUGAUCGGAGGGGACUGAGGGCUGCCCCCCAGUCCCGCCCGGUCACCGCCUCCCUUCCUGUUUUCCCACCCUCGUGGGCUUGGAAGGAGAGCAGGGAGCAGGAGUUGGGAAGUUUUUCUUUCUCCUCAUUUCAGAAACACGAUGUCAUGUCUGUGAUGCUGAAACGCAUGGGCAGAUUUUAGGGAGGUUUCUGUUAUUAAAAGCGAGAGGCUAUCAAUUCAGA